GGAGCGGCAGACGGGAGAGUAACACGUGGGAACGUACCCUUUGGUUCGGAACAACCCAGGGAAACUUGGGCUAAUACCGGAUAAGCCCUCACGGGGAAAGAUUUAUCGCCGAAGGAUCGGCCCGCGUCUGAUUAGCUGGUUGGUGGGGUAAUGGCCCACCAAGGCGACGAUCAGUAGCUGGUCUGAGAGGACGAUCAGCCACACUGGGACUGAGACACGGCCCAGACUCCUACGGGAGGCAGCAGUGGGGAAUCUUGCGCAAUGGGCGAAAGCCUGACGCAGCGACGCCGCGUGAGGGAAGAAGGCCUUCGGGUUGUAAACCUCUUUCAGGAGGGACGAAGCCACUCAGGUUAAUAGCCGAGAGGGUGACGGUACCUCCAGAAGAAGCCCCGGCUAACUACGUG
rnacentral:rRNA from 1 species